rnacentral:rRNA from 3 species
GCGACCCCAGGUCAGGCGGGACUACCCGCUGAAUUUAAGCAUAUCA